rnacentral:rRNA from 1 species
AGUAACGCGUGAGGAACCUGCCUCAAAGAGGGGGACAACAGUUGGAAACGGCUGCUAAUACCGCAUAAGCCCACGGCUCGGCAUCGAGCAGAGGGAAAAGGAGCAAUCCGCUUUGAGAUGGCCUCGCGUCCGAUUAGCUAGUUGGUGAGGUAAUGGCCCACCAAGGCAACGAUCGGUAGCCGGACUGAGAGGUUGAGCGGCCACAUUGGGACUGAGACACGGCCCAG